CCGAGGUGGUGGUGUCAGGCGGCCAGGUGUGGCUGUGCAGGGGGGUGUUGGAAAUAUGCCCUAGAGGCAAUAAUAAAUUAGUUAGUAUUAUAUUUCCUUGUUCAUAAUAAUCGUUUAUUAUCCAUGCUAGAAUUGUAUUGAUUGGAAACACAAAUACAUGUGUGGAUACAUAGACAAAAUACUGUCCUUGGUAGGUGGGCGUGGC
rnacentral:lncRNA from 1 species